rnacentral:rRNA from 1 species
UUGGACCGUCGUAAGACUAACUUAAGCGAAAGCAUUUGCCAAAGAUGUUUUCAUUAAUCAAGAACGAAAGUUAGAGGUUCGAAGGCGAUCAGAUACCGCCCUAGUUCUAACCAUAAACGAUGCCAGCUAGCAAUUGAGUAUAGCUACUACUAUGGCUUUCUCAGUCGCUUCUCGGGAAACCAAAGCUUUUGGGCUCCGGGGGAAGUAUGGUUGCAAAGCUGAAACU